rnacentral:rRNA from 1 species
AACACAUGCAAGUCGAACGCUGAAGCCCAGCUUGCUGGGUGGAUGAGUGGCGAACGGGUGAGUAACACGUGAGUAACCUGCCCCCUUCUUUGGGAUAACGCCCGGAAACGGGUGCUAAUACUGGAUAUUCACUGAUCUUCGCAUGGGGGUUGGUGGAAAGGUUUUUUCUGGUGGGGGAUGGGCUCGCGGCCUAUCAGCUUGUUGGUGGGGUGAUGGCCUACCAAGGCUUUGACGGGUAGCCGGCCUGAGAGGGUGACCGGUCACAUUGGGACUGAGAUACGGCCCAGACUCCUACGGGAGGCAGCAGUGGGGAAUAUUGCACAAUGGGCGAAAGCCUGAUGCAGCGACGCCGCGUGAGGGAUGACGGCCUUCGGGUUGUAAACCUCUUUCGCUCAUGGUCAAGCCGCAGCUUUGGGUUGUGGUGAGGGUAGUGGGUAAAGAAGCGCCGGCUAACUACGUGCCAGCAGCCGCGGUAAUACGUAGGGCGCGAGCGUUGUCCGGAAUUAUUGGGCGUAAAGGGCUUGUAGGCGGUUGGUCGCGUCUGCCGUGAAAUCCUCUGGCUUAACUGGGGGCGUGCGGUGGGUACGGGCUGACUUGAGUGCGGUAGGGGAGACUGGAACUCCUGGUGUAGCGGUGGAUGCGCAGAUAUCAGGAAGAACACCGGUGGCGAAGGCGGGUCUCUGGGCCGUUACUGACGCUGAGGAGCGAAAGCGUGGGGAGCGAA